rnacentral:snRNA from 1 species
GUAUUUACCUGGCAGAAGGACCUCCAUGAUCACAAAGCUGGCCUUCCCACGGCAAGGCUCAUCCAUUGCACUCCAGAUGAGCUGACCCCUGUGGUUUCUUCAUACGUGGGGAACUGCACUCACUCUCCCCUGCAAAAAAAAUACAUAAGUAGGCUGGGCACAGUGGCCCGUGCCUGUA